rnacentral:rRNA from 1 species
GUGAACGCUGGCGGUAGGCCUAACACAUGCAAGUCGAACGGCAGCACAGUAAGAGCUUGCUCUUACGGGUGGCGAGUGGCGGACGGGUGAGGAAUACAUCGGAAUCUACUUUUUCGUGGGGGAUAACGUAGGGAAACUUACGCUAAUACCGCAUACGACCUACGGGUGAAAGCAGGGGAUCUUCGGACCUUGCGCGAUUGAAUGAGCCGAUGUCGGAUUAGCUAGUUGGCGGGGUAAAGGCCCACCAAGGCGACGAUCCGUAGCUGGUCUGAGAGGAUGAUCAGCCACACUGGAACUGAGACACGGUCCAGACUCCUACGGGAGGCAGCAGUGGGGAAUAUUGGACAAAGGGCGCAAGCCUGAUCCAGCCAUACCGCGUGGGUGAAGAAGGCCUUCGGGUUGUAAAGCCCUUUUGUUGGGAAAGAAAAGCAGCAGGUUAAUACCCCGCUGUUCCGACGGUACCCAAAGAAUAAGCACCGGCUAACUUCGUG